rnacentral:rRNA from 1 species
CCUACGGGUGGCAGCAGUAGGGAAUAUUGCUCAAUGGGGGAAACCCUGAAGCAGCCACGCCGCGUGGAGGAUGAAGGUUUUCGGAUUGUAAACUCCUUUUGUUAGGGAAGAUAAUGAUGGUAUCUAACGAAGAAGCACCGGCAAACUCCGUGCCAGCAGCCGCGGUAAUAAGGAGGAUGCGAGCGUUAUCCGGAUGUAUUGGGUUUUAAGGGGGCGCAGGCGGAAGAUCAAGUCAGCGGUAAAAUUGAGAGGCUCAACCUCGUCGAGCCGUUGAAACUGGUUUUCUUGAGUGAGCGAGAAGUAUGCGGAAUGCGUGGUGUAGCGGUGAAAUGCAUAGAUAUCACGCAGAACUCCGAUUGCGAAGGCAGCAUACCGGCGCUCAACUGACGCUCAGGCACGAAAGUGUGGGUAUCGAACAGGAUUAGAUACCCGGGUAGUC